UACGUAGGUGGCAAGCGUUGUCCGGAUUUAUUGGGCGUAAAGCGAGCGCAGGCGGUUUCUUAAGUCUGAUGUGAAAGCCUUCGGCUCAACCGAAGAAGUGCAUCGGAAACUGGGAAACUUGAGUGCAGAAGAGGACAGUGGAACUCCAUGUGUAGCGGUGAAAUGCGUAGAUAUAUGGAAGAACACCAGUGGCGAAGGCGGCUAUCUGGUCUGUAACUGACGCUGAGGCUCGAAAGCAUGGGUAGCAAACAGG
rnacentral:rRNA from 1 species